UUCAUUUCACGGAGAAGCUCUUUGAACCCAAGGCCACUGGUCCUCCUGGGGGUUUCUGGAAGGGAAGUUCAGCUGAUGGGGGCAGAGAAGACUCUUUGUUGUGAAAUUCAAGACAGAAAAAUAGAGCUAAUUCAUAGUAACAAGAAUCUCGUUGUGGAGCCCAGGGUGGCCUUGAAUUUGUGAUCCAUACAAGGAGGAUGGAGGACUUCCGUUUCUCCUGCUGAGCCCGGAUCCUGGCAGAUGUUCGUGCAGGAUUCUGCUAGUUCUUUUGGAGACAUGGCCUCCUGCCCCCCUAACCCAUGGCCUUGAUCUUGCUACGUAGCUAACUAACGAUUACCUUGAACUUCUCGGUCCUCCUGUCUCCACCUUCCAAACGCUGAGAUUACAGGUAUGUAUGUACACCACGGGUGUGCCUGGCAUCUGUGGAUGUUAGAAGAGGAUGCUAUAUUCCCGGAACUAGAGUUAUGGAUGGCUGUGUGCCACCGUGUGGGUACCAGGAACCAAAUCCAGGUUCCCUGCAAGAGCAGCCAGCACUCUUAACAACUGAGCCAUCUCUCC